UGAAACAAGGUUCACCCUACAGGUUAACAGAAAAAAACAACCAUAUCUUUUGCACCUCUGGUUUCAUCAAAAAUGGGUUGACACAAUUAGUCGCAGCUUUCCAAACCUUUCUGUGCCUUCAUUCUGCUCAAGUUCCACCCAGACAUUGUAAUAGAAACACUAGUUAGGAGGUCCCAGGCAGCAGACGGCCAGGGGGUGCCAGGCAGCAGACGGCCAGGGGGUGCCAGGCAGCAGACGGCCAGGGGGUGCCAGGCAGCAGACGGCCAGGGGGUGCCAGGCAGCAGACGGCCAGGGGGUGCCAGGCAGCAGACGGCCAGGGGGUGCCAGGCAGCAGACGGUUAAGAGGAGGCUACGAGGAGAGAUGUCGAAGACCCUCAAAACCAUUACAGAAUCGCCUGUGUCCCCCCUUCGGAUUUAUUUCUAAACCACAUGUAUUAGAAUUUUUCAUAACGUGCUACAGGAGAAUGAACACUCAACAUAGGAAAGUAGGCGGACUGACGUUUCAGUUCCAACAUAGUUGAAGUGAAAAAUGGUGCGAAUAAAAUAAAAAGUUUGUGUAAAUCCAUGGUCUCGUUUUUUUUGUUUGUGGAGUUGGAAUUCACAUUCGCAGCCCGUGAAUGAACUGUGUAUUUCAUUCCAGUACACAAGACUGAGACCUUGCUAUCAAAGAGAAUGAAAUGGAUUGUUGGUUUUUGGCUGUAGGCUAGUAUAACACUUAACAACAAAUGGGCCCACGGUAGCAUGUUUUUCUACAUUCGUAGGCUUUGUCUCAUGUCUAAAAUAGGUUUCCUUGUCUCUUUUUGUUGUUGCUUAAUUUACACCGAUUUAUAUAAUGAACUGGGUUACUGUGUGGCUGUCUUUUACUGAUGUGCCAGUACAAAGCAUUGAGACCUUCCUAUCAAAGUAAAUGUAAUAGAUACUCUAUUGGUUUUGGCUGUAGUCUAUGGCCUCACCAGUGACCAUGUACAAAGUACAAGACGAUGCUGGCUGGGUCAGAGUACAGUUCUCUACCUUGAAAACAUUGCGUGUAAUGUUUUUAGCUGAUUUUGUUUUCGCUGGUAUUAAUACCAUGGUAUUUCAUUGAAGAUUAUGUGUUUAUCAAUGGGUACUUUCUGGUACUUUAAAUAAUUCAACACAAUAGUGGAUGGCAGCCCUAGGGCUGUUGCGGUGACCAUAUUACCACCACAUCAGCUGAUUGUAGUAAAAUUCCACGUGACAGUCAUGGUAAUCUCCCGUUAUGCCCUCUGGAUAUGCUUUGUUAUUGCCCAACUUGCUAAUGGCCUGGUAGUCAGGGCUCUAUUGUUCCUCCAUCAGGUCCUAAUGGCCUGGUACUCAGGGCUCUAUUGUUCCUCCAUCAGGUCCUAAUGGCCUGGUACUCAGGGCUCUAUUGUCCCUCCAUCAGGUCCUAAUGGUCUGGUACUCAGGGCUCUAUUGUCCUUCCAUCAGGUCCUAAUGGCCUGGUACUCAGGGCUCUAUUGUUCCUCCAUCAGGUCCUAAUG
rnacentral:lncRNA from 13 species